UGGGAAACAACGAUUGGAACUGAAGACAAAAAAAGACUCUAAGGAAGUCUUCUAUAAUCUGGAAAAAAAAUCAAGAGAAGACACAAGUGCUGUCGGCAGUCACGAGGUAGAGCGGAAGCAAGCAGCAGUUCGUGGUCUCCCGUGCCCUCGGCGGUGCUUACCUGGAUGAUGUUUCUCAGACCCAAUGAAUGCUGCCUGUUGAAGCCACGUAACACCCAGUUCACACCCUUCACCACAGCAGUUCAAUCCCUUUACUUUAGAGACCACUUUUCCUCCCACGCGGCCUGCCUAUGGAGGUAUCAGAGAUGAUGACUAACUUUGAAGCUAAAGCUUCCCAUUUGCUAUCCUCCUGUCCAAAGGAAGUCUUUUCCAGCCUCUGGGAAGGGCACCAUCCUGUAUUUCUUUCUGUA
rnacentral:lncRNA from 1 species